GUGGAUGCCUUGGUAUCGAGAGGCGAUGAAGGACGUGAUACGCUGCGAAAAGCUUCGGGGAGCUGCGAAUGGGCUUUGAUCCGAAGAUAUCCGAAUGGGGAAACCCGGCCCUUUAGGGUCAUCUGCUGCUGAAUACAUAGGCGGUGGAAGCGAACCCGGUGAACUGAAACAUCUCAGUAACCGGAGGAAAGGACAUCAACCGAGACUCCCCUAGUAGUGGCGAGCGAACGGGGGCCAGGCCA
rnacentral:rRNA from 1 species